UACGUAGGGGCCUAGCGUUGUCCGGAUUUAUUGGGCGUAAAGAGCUCGUAGGCGGUGUGUCACGUCGGCCGUGAAAACCUGCAGCUUAACUGUGGGCGUGCGGUCGAUACGGGCAUCACUGGAGUUCGGCAGGGGAGACUGGAAUUCCUGGUGUAGCGGUGAAAUGCGCAGAUAUCAGGAGGAACACCGGUGGCGAAGGCGGGUCUCUGGGCCGAUACUGACGCUGGAGGAGCGAAAGCGUGGGGAGCAAACAGG
rnacentral:rRNA from 1 species